AAGACGGUCUUGCUGUCACUUAUAGAUGGAUCCGCGCUGCAUUAGCUAGUUGGUAAGGUAACGGCUUACCAAGGCAACGAUGCAUAGCCGACCUGAGAGGGUGAUCGGCCACACUGGAACUGAGACACGGUCCAGACUCCUACGGGAGGCAGCAGUAGGGAAUCUUCCGCAAUGGGCGAAAGCCUGACGGAGCAACGCCGCGUGAGUGAUGAAGGUCUUCGGAUCGUAAAACUCUGUUAUUAGGGAAGAACAUAUGUGUAAGUAACUGUGCACAUCUUGACGGUACCUAAUCAGAAAGCCACGGCUAACUACGUGCCAGCAGCCGCGGUAAUACGUAGGUGGCAAGCGUUAUCCGGAAUUAUUGGGCGUAAAGCGCGCGUAGGCGGUUUUUUAAGUCUGAUGUGAAAGCCCACGGCUCAACCGUGGAGGGUCAUUGGAAACUGGAAAACUUGAGUGCAGAAGAGGAAAGUGGAAUUCCAUGUGUAGCGGUGAAAUGCGCAGAGAUAUGGAGGAACACCAGUGGCGAAGGCGACUUUCUGGUCUGUAACUGACGCUGAUGUGCGAAAGCGUGGGGAUCAAACAGGAUUAGAUACCCUGGUAGUCCACGCCGUAAA
rnacentral:rRNA from 1 species